GAUGAACGCUGGCGGCGUGCUUAACACAUGCAAGUCGAACGGAAAGGCCCAAGCUUGCUUGGGUACUCGAGUGGCGAACGGGUGAGUAACACGUGGGUGAUCUGCCCUGCACUUCGGGAUAAGCCUGGGAAACUGGGUCUAAUACUGGAUAGGACCACUUCUUGGAUGUUGUGGUGGACAGUUUUUUCGGUGUGGGAUGAGCUCGCGGCCUAUCAGCUUGUUGGUGGGGUAAUGGCCUACCAAGGCGUCGACGGGUAGCCGGCCUGAGAGGGUGUACGGCCACAUUGGGACUGAGAUACGGCCCAGACUCCUACGGGAGGCAGCAGUGGGGAAUAUUGCACAAGGGGCGCGAGCCUGAUGCAGCGACGCCGCGGGGGGGAUGACGGCCUUCGGGUUGGAAACUCCUUUCGCUAGGGACGAAGCGUUUUGUGACGGUACCUGGAGAAGAAGCACCGGCUAACUACGUG
rnacentral:rRNA from 1 species